rnacentral:lncRNA from 1 species
GGCCCUGCCGCCGCCUUCGCCCUUCUCGUCGCGUGCGCGCCUCACCGACCCCGCAUUCACCCCGCAGGCGCAAGAGGCCGUGGACGACCGUGGACGAGCGCGGUCCAUGCGAGCAGGUCCCUCACGGGCAUUUCGUCGAACACCUUGCGGGCUAGAUAUAAGGCUUACCAAUUACAUUCCAUCCCAUAACCCAGUAAAACUUCUGGAGCAAUAUUUUCAGGUGUGCCAACAGUAGAGUAAGCCUACGGAUCAACUAAAGAUAGAAUUUCGUACAGUAAGCUGCAAGGAUUCAGCAAGCGCGCAAAUCCCUCUUUGAGGACUAGUCUGGUUUUUGGUUCCUAAUUAGUAGCCAUGAUUGGGGCUAUCUGACUAUUAAUAGAAUUUCACUAUUGUCAUGGUUGAUAUGUCCCGGUACCUUCAUUAACCAAAGGGGACUCUCGAGAAAGUCGUCUCUCGAAAUGACAUAGAUAGAGACGGAAUGGAAUCUCCAUAGUCAGAGUUGAGGCCGGUCUACAGCGGUGAAAGUACGUCCGGUCGAACGACUCUGAAGAACUAAACUCUCUGACUGUCUUGCGUGACUGACCACUGCAAGUCAAGUCGAAAGUGCUUAUAUGCUUAACACGUUUUUGUCUCAAUGACAGGCCGCUCGAACAUUGUCUGAUUUUUUUUUUUUUAAGACACUGGAUCUUAUGUAUCUACUUAUUGUCUUUUUGCCUCUGCUCGGUAGUUCCGUAGCC